ensembl:lncRNA
GCACGGAGAUGCUGCAGGGCUGGAGCCCCUCUGCUCUGGAGCCAGGCUGGCAGAGCUGGGGCUGCUCAGCUGCACCAGAGAAGGCUCCAGGGAGAGCUGAGAGCCCCUGGCAGGGCCUGCCCCCCCCCCCCCCAUGGAGGGACAGGACACAGGGAAUGGCUCCCACUGCCAGAGGGCAGGGAUGGAUGGGAUAUUGGGAAGGAAUUGUUCCCUGGGAGGGUGGGCAGGCCCUGGCACAGGGUGCCCAGAGCAGCUGUGGCUGCCCCUGGAUCCCUGGCAGUGUCCCAGGGCAGGCUGGACACUGGGGCUGGGAGCAGCCUGGGACAGUGGAAGGUGUCCCUGCCCAUGGCAGGGGUGGCACUGAAUGAGCUUUAGGCUUCUUUCCAAUGUCAUUCUAUGAAUUUAGGGGAUCAAAACUUUUGCUUGCAGGGCAAACUGGGGGGAUUUUGGAACAGGGAAGUUGCAACCGCUCUGCGUCACAACACAAAAGUUCUCUGCAGAAGAGGAAGCUGGUGGGAAGAGCCCUGCCUGGUGCUCUGCAGAGCAGCUGGCUGAGCUCUGGGUUUGGCUGGAGCAGCUGGCCACCCUUAGAGUCUCUCCUCACCCAGGAGUCCCUUGGGAUCCAGCAGUGGGAUCAAAACACACUCAGGUGGUUUCCUUCAGCUGCACUGGCCAGGCUUGCGUUGCUUCCCAGAUCAGGCCACUGAAUUCACCAAGGUUCAGAAAUUGCUCUGAACUCUAACUUCUGCCUGGGUUAGCAGCAAACCAUGAUUUACUCUUUGCCUCGAUAUUUUGAAAGGAAGGAAGGCAGUUCUUUGGGGAAGUGUGCUGUGAAUGAUAAUGGUCCUUCAGGAGGACCAGAAGUUCAGGGGGAUGGCAUGAGAGCAGAUCUUUUGCAGGCUUUGCCCUGGAGUAUCAAGGGCUGGCUGUGCCUGGUGCUGAUUUUCCAGGCUGGAAAUAGCAGGGCUGGGCUGUGGGAAACAGGGUGGUUCAUGUACAGCCCGAGAGCAUCACCACACCUGAGCCAAAGGAGCCAAAGGUGCUGGCUCUGGAUUCAUGAAACUCCAUUCCUUUUCUUGUCUGCAAACCAGGAGCUGUUCUUAGAGCCAAGUUUUCCCAACUCCCUUUGCCCUUCAGCAUCUUUUCCUGCCCGUUCUGUUACUCUGGUGAUCUCAAAGGCUGGAGAGGCUCCAAUCCCUCCUGCAGCUGCAGAUCUCCCCAAAUGAACUGCUGUGGCCACAGGCAGCCAUUGCUUUGGUAGCCCGAGCUGCUGUGGAUGAAAACACACUGGACCAUCAGUCAGGCUGCUCCUGGCUACCAAAAAAACCCCCUUGGGACUGGCAGCAUCCAAUAUUUAUGGUUUCUGUCCUGGCCUGCAGUGACAGGACGUGGNNNNNNNNNNNNNNNNNNNNNNNNNNNNNNNNNNNNNNNNNNNNNNNNNNNNNNNNNGAAAAAACCCCCCCCCCCCCCCCCUUGGGAAGGAAUUGUUCCCUGGGAGGGUGGGCAGGCCCUGGCACAGGGUGCCCAGAGCAGCUGUGGCUGCCCCUGGAUCCCUGGCAGUGUCCCAGGGCAGGCUGGACACUGGGGCUGGGAGCAGCCUGGGACAGUGGAAGGUGUCCCUGCCAUGGCAGGGGGUGGAAAAAGAUGGUUCUGAAGGUCCCUCCCAACCCAAAUCCUUUGAUGAUGAUGAUGGGUCUCUGAUUUUUUCCAGCCGUGAGGGCCUGGGAAAUUGACUGUGCUGAAAGCUCGAGUAAGAGCAAGCUCGGGAAAACAUCUUUAGAAAGCAUCUUUAAAGUGUUUUGUUGAUGCACUUCCCCUAUUUUUCGUCAAGCCUGAGGGGGCUGAUAUGCAGCUGGAAACAGUUCCCGUUGUUUUCCAGCUCCUCCAGGGCUGCUCCAGGCAGGCAUCUUCAGGAAAGCCGCUCUGAAUUGACUUCCAAAUGAGAGUAAUUAAAGCAAACGAGGCUUUUGCAGGGAGGGAAGAGCUCCCGGCUGGAUGAUGCACUCGGCUCAAGGUAAUUGUCCCAGAUCAGCUCUCUGUGCUGGGGAUGGGAUGGGAUGGGAUGGGAUGGUUUAACACUCCACAGACUUCUCCCUCCUUCCCAUUAUUUCCCCAUUUCCACGAGGCAGGUGCCUGGGAUGUCCCUGUCAUCCUGACCAGCUUUAAGUGCUGCCAGAGCCUGCCUGGUCUCACUCAGAUGCUGCCAAGGUUCUAAGGAGAUUUAGGGUCCCUCACACCCCUGGGGCAAAGGGAGGUUGGGAGCAAGGUGGGAUUUGGAGUCCUGGAAACUCCGGGAGUGUUGAUUUUUUUUUUUUCCCCCACCAAAAACCAGAGGCCAAUUUUGCAACCUUAGCGCAAAGCAAGGAGAAGAAAGCACUAAAUGUGGCAAGAACUGCCAAUUUCUCAACAAUUGUCAAGAAACAGUGAACUGAAAUAUCCCCUAAGGGUGGGGAAAAUGUCAAGCCCAGCAGUUGUCACUGGUUUGUUUUUUUUUACCUGCAAGUCACACGUUGCAUCCCUCCCUGGGGAUGUUUCUGCUCCUCCAACACUUCCUGACCUUUCCCAAAAUGCUGUGGUGUUGUACUUUCACUGCUGCUAUUUUUUUAUAUUGUUUUGGAGGGUGUGGGGAGGGAAAUGUGAUAGAAGGAAGUAGAAGGAAAGGUUUCUCUCUCUGUUCUUCUUUUUAAUUUUUUUUUUUUUCCUUAAAGCCAGAAAUGAGCAAAUGGAAAGUAUAAAACAACAUGAAAAUGCCCCAAUUCUUUCAAAAUAGCUCCUGGGUAAUUUCCACCCCCAAUCACAGAUUUUGUGUGCCAGUAAAAAAAAAAAGAAAAAAAAAAAUAUAUAUAUAAAUAUAUAAAACUCUGUAUCUCUAGUGAAACACAGAGGGAUUUUCCUUUGUCCACGUGCCUUGGGCACUGACCUGGGGAGGCUUUCCUUGGUCUUUGGUGGCUUUGAAAGCCCCGUUGUUCCUUCACAGGGACCCUUUAUGCUGAUCGUGCACAUUCUGUGGGCAUCUGUCAACAGGGGAGGGGGGAAACUGCUGAAAUGGGUAAUAAUGAGAUGAAAACAAUCCAUGCUGGCCUCUGGAUAAUAACCAGCUGAUAUUAAGCCUAAGCCCAGCUGAAAACAGUUAAUAAUAAAUGGGCAUUAAUUAAAGCUAAAUUACAGGGGAAGGUGCAGGCCUGGCUCUCAAUCCAAUUAGAGGGCUGUGGUUCGUAAUGGGCAGAAUCUGUCCAGCCUGUGAAUCAAUGAUCAAAGGCUGGGGAAGCAACAGCAGGGCUGUGUCAGGGUUGGGAUGAUGGCCUGGACAGGGAAGAGGCCAGAGGAGGAUUAAGAGAGAGCUCGUUUGGGUUUGCCACACACCCCAGAAGGUUUGGGAUGAGUCCUGGUGGGAGCAGGAUAUUCACUGCAGACCCCUCAUGGUGACAACAGGAGGGAAAGGGCAGAGCUGAGGCUGGUCCAAGGCUGGGUCUGACUGAUGUGUUCUGUGCAUCAGGAGGGAGAGGCAGAGCUGCCCUCACAGCUGAGGAGGGGCUUGGCCAGGGAGGAGCUGGGAAGUGAGGACGUGAUCCAAGAAGGAUCACCCUGGAACACAGCACUCCAGCUCUGGCAGCCUCAGCUCUGCCAAACUGAGGGGGACACGCCACCAAGGGUCACUGGGCAAGCUGCUGGAAGGGCUCCUCCCAGCCAGCAGCUCCAGGCUGCUCACACUCCCGAGAGCAGAAGCCUUGGUUUUAAACCUCACUGGUGCUGAGAGGAGCUUUGGAAUGUGCAUUCUUCCAAACAGCCCAAACACCUUUUCUUUCUAAAAAAAAAAAAAAAAAAAAAGUUUUUAAAGAAGCUUUGGAAUGUGCCAUCCUUCCAAACACCAGCUAAGAGGAAAAUCCCAGCGUUUUGGAAGCUGCUAUGAGGAAAAUCCCAGCGUUUUGGAAGCUCAGGGUGUUUCAGGCAGACCUUCAGGCGUGUCCCACGAAUGAGAGCAUCAGCAAUAGCUGGAAAAGGCUCUUCUGCUCCAGAAAAAGCCCACGUGUUUGCUGUUUCUCCUCCUGACCCAGAUGUGCAGCUCAGUGUCCUCCCUCGGGAGCAGCCACGGGAUAUUCCUGACACGAGGAGGCAGC